GCCUGGGUGGCUCAGUUGGUUAAGCAUCUGACUUCAGCUCAGGUCAUGAUCUCACAGUUUGUGAGUUCAAGUCCUGCGUCGGGCU
rfam:Felis catus isolate Cinnamon breed Abyssinian chromosome X, whole genome shotgun sequence.